UCGGGGCGCAGCAGGCGCGAAAACUGCACAAUGUGGGAAACCACGAUGCGGGAAACCCAAGUGCCAGCACUAUGUGUUGGCUGUCCUCAAGCGUUCGUUGCUUGGGAAGAAAGUGCUGGGUAAGACGGGUGCCAGCCGCCGCGGUAAUACCCGCAGCACAAGUGGUGGUCAUUAUUAUUGGGCCUAAAGCGUCCGUAGCUGGCCUGCUAGAUGCCUGGGUAAAUCGAAGCGCUCAACGUUUCGAAUUCCGGGUAGACCGGCAGGCUCGAGACCGGGAGAGGUGUGGGCUACUCAAGGGGUAGGGGUAAAAUCCUGUAAUCCUUCGGGGAGGACCAGUGGCGAAGGCGCCACACUUGAACGGCUCCGACAGUGAGGGACGAAGCCCUGGGGCGCAAACCGGAUUAGAUACCCGGGUAGUCCAGGGUGUAAACGCUGCAGACUUGGUGUCGGAGAUCCUACGAGGGUCGCCGGUGCCGGAGAGAAGUCGUUGAGUCUGCCGCCUGGGGAGUACGGUCGCAAGACUGAAACUCAAAGGAAUUGACGG
rnacentral:rRNA from 1 species